CAGCUAAGUUAGCUGCUCUGCUAACCAACUGUCACGACUCGUAAUUUUUCCCUUAAGUUGGCGGGAUACACUGUGUUAGAAGUUGUUUCGACAAGCGUGGAGGGAAAGCUGACUUUAUGGUUUGGCUCCUUCGACUCCUUCCUCCCGUGUGAUAUGACAUCACGACUCGGUUACAAGAGAAGCUCGAGCUCUACAGCAGACGGUUGACAUCUGGUCAGGAUGGCUGCUCAGGUGGAGGUUCAGACUACGGAGGUAGGAAGGACAGUGGCAGGAGGACGACAUCACCUGACUCCCCUGACAGACUCCAGCAAUAAGAGCCUCAUUGACAUCCCGUCUGCCAAUCAGCCGCAGCUCAUCGCAGCUGAACCAAACAAGCCUGCCCCAAGCGCCAAGCCGCGACUUACUCCCAAACCUUUUUCUGUGGAGAAAAAUCCUACAAUUAAGCCCAUACUUGCCCCAAAGCCUCAAACUAAACCCAGACCUGAGUCCACUCGCCUUGCUGGAUACAAACCAGAGCUUCCAAGCAAUCCAAAACCACAGCAGCCGGUUUCCAGCAGCAAACCCAGACCACUUUUAACCAACCCCAACCGUCCUGCCUCUACCUCCUUUCGAUCACCCACUAAGUUGAACACUGGACAGACAACAAAGCUAGUAGCCCAGCCAUUUAAACCAGCUCCUCCACAUGACACUGGAGGCCCUAGCAGACCCACCCCUCCUCCUGUGCCAGCACAGAGGCAGAAACCCUCAACAUCAAGCUUGGCCUACUCAAAGAGCUUUAAAAAACUACCAGCAGCAGAGUGGUCUGGAACCACUAAAAAAGAAGACGAAAAAGGCCACAAUGCACAAGGUAAAGUUGGAACCUCCC
ensembl:lncRNA